rnacentral:rRNA from 1 species
GACGAACCGUGCGAACGUUGUUCGGAAUCACUGGGCUUAAAGGGCGCGUAGGCGGACUGCCAAGUCCGGGGUGAAAUCCUCCGGCUUAACCGGAGAAUUGCCCGGGAUACUGGCGGUCUUGAGGGAGGUAGGGGCACGCGGAACUUCCGGUGGAGCGGUGAAAUGCGUUGAUAUCGGAAGGAACGCCGGUGGCGAAAGCGGCGUGCUGGCCCUCUUCUGACGCUGAGGCGCGAAAGCCAGGGGAGCGAACGGG